GUGCAUAGAAGUGUCAGGUUUUUUGAAAUCAUACAAAAGAUUCCUCUUAUCUCUCACAUUAAUUAUCAAUCCACCUUUUUUUCAAAAAAGAAAACAAAAUGAUCAAAUAAAAAAAGAUAGUAAAGAUAUUAAAAGGAAAUAAAAUCAUAAAGGAGAUCUCAUAAUUUUCUCUCUUAGAGAACUCACGGUUCUCUUUCUAUUUCAUAACCAUCACUUUAUUUCUCUUUUUUUUUAACACAAAAUAGUAAGAGGUUAAAGAAAAGGAACAUGGCAGCAAAGAGGAACUCACGGCGGCUCACAUGGAGAUCAUAGCUGCCGGAGCUUCUCCGACGCGGUGGCCGGAGGUGAAAAAUUCCCGAAUGCAAUUUUUUUUACAUAUUUGGGGAAUAGCAAUCAAUGGAUGGAAUCGUUAUCAGAGACUGAUUCUCAACCUUUUGGUGCAAAGAAAUGAGAGAACGGCGGUGGUUUAAUUUUCCGGCGCGGAGGUGGCGAUUUCCAGUGGUGGUCCAGUGAGGAUUUCCGGCGAGGGAAGGUUCAGAAAAACAUGGAUGAAAUCUUGAAGAUUAUGGAGCUUGGAAGAUUCAAAGGAAGACAUAAGCAUGGACAUGGAGAAAUAUUGAAGAAAAUGGUGUGGACUUGGAAUAUUUUGAAUUUUUUCUUGGGUAAACAUAAUGAUGUAACUUUGAGAAUCCGUCCACCUUGUAAUUUGGAAUGAGUUAUGAACUUGAAUGGACUUUCUUGGAUUUGAAGCUUCGAAAUUUGUAUGUUGAAUGAUCAUAAAAUUGAAACUCUUACUUGAAUGGAAA